UACGGAGGGGGCAAGCGUUAUUCGGAAUCAUUGGGCGUAAAGGGCGCGUAGGCGGCUUCAUAAGUCUUGGGUGAAAGCCCUCGGCUCAACCGAGGAAUUGCCUUGGAUACUGUGAAGCUCGAGGCUGGAAGAGGGCAGUGGAAUUCCCAGUGUAGAGGUGAAAUUCGUAGAUAUUGGGAAGAACACCGGUGGCGAAGGCGGCGACCUGGUCCGUGACUGACGCUGAGGCGCGAAAGCGUGGGGAGCAAACAGG
rnacentral:rRNA from 1 species